rnacentral:tRNA from 2 species
GCCGGGGUAGCUCAGGGGUAGAGCAGCUGAUUCGUAAUCAGCAGGUCGUGAGUUCAAAUCUCAUCCCCGGCU